UGGGGAAUAUUGCACAAUGGGCGCAAGCCUGAUGCAGCCAUGCCGCGUGUAUGAAGAAGGCCUUCGGGUUGUAAAGUACUUUCAGCGGGGAGGAAGGUGUUGAGGCUAAUAACCUCAGCAAUUGACGUUACCCGCAGAAGAAGCACCGGCUAACUCCGUGCCAGCAGCCGCGGUAAUACGGAGGGUGCAAGCGUUAAUCGGAAUUACUGGGCGUAAAGCGCACGCAGGCGGUCUGUCAAGUCGGAUGUGAAAUCCCCGGGCUCAACCUGGGAACUGCAUUCGAAACUGGCAGGCUAGAGUCUUGUAGAGGGGGGUAGAAUUCCAGGUGUAGCGGUGAAAUGCGUAGAGAUCUGGAGGAAUACCGGUGGCGAAGGCGGCCCCCUGGACAAAGACUGACGCUCAGGUGCGAAAGCGUGGGGAUCAAACA
rnacentral:rRNA from 1 species